ensembl:lncRNA
AUGCGGACCGCUCUGCUUCUCGCGGUGUUCUCGUGCUUUUCUCUUAUCGAGGGAAAGCCAUUCGAAGAUAAAACGUGUGUUGGAAUUCGCAGAGAAGAUUCUUCUUAUGACUUUGACCUGCCCGACGCUGUGGCCGUGAACUUGCAAGACCUCACCUGUGAUGCAGAGUGGACCAUUGAUCGAUUCACAGCUAUCCUGGAUGGAAAUUCAGCAUACUUUUCUCAUCCCUUCAAAAACGUAACCCGUAAUGGAAUCAGUGUGACUUACUGUCCAUUUUCAGUCAUAUUCCAUGCCUCUUGUCCUAAUUAUGUCAAUCACCUUACAUGUUCUUGCACCAAUUCCACCAGCAUCUAUCCAGUGUUUAGCACAACUCUGCCAUCUAGAGAUGCUGCCAUUGCUGUUGCUGCCAUUUUUGUCAUAACCCUUGUCAUUUUGGCUUUCCACUCUGCAAGCACAGCGAAAUAUGCUCCUGAAGGACAAAACCAGCCUGGUUCAGUAGAAUGA